rnacentral:misc_RNA from 1 species
GUAAGAGUUCGUUGCGCAUGAUUCAUUUUCCGUCAUUUUGUUUAUGAUUUUGUCCUGUUUUGUUUUUUUUUAAAAUAGAGGUAAUUUUAUGACCAGUGAUAUGGCUAAGACAGAUAGACUAUUAUUGAAAUGGAACAACAUACAAUAAUAUGUAGAACAUGUUGUGUUGGUGGUUGUACCUUCUCCACAUCGAUUACGUUUUCCAGAGAUGAAAUGGACAUGUUCUUGGAAGGGUUGAAACUUAUUCAAAGCAUUUUAAAGAAGAUUUUAAGAUACAUGAGAGUUCGAACAAGAGGAAUUACCAAAGGGGCCAUCCCAAGCUCAUUUUUACCACCACUAGGUAAGAACCACAUAGGACAAAUAAUUCAAUUUUAAUAGAGCUAAAAGUUAGCCAACACCUAUCGAGUAAAGUACAUAUCCAACAAUUAAAAUACUUUGGAUCAAUCAAAUUACAGGAAUAUGCAAAAGACCUAUGCAUGAGUUAAAAGAAAUGACCAGAGACAGAGAUCUUUUUAGACAGACAAUAUAUGACAUCACGUCGACCACUACACUCCCUCCUGGGGGUCAGGAUUGAAGAGAGAGAUUAUCAGGAUGAAAAGGCUACUAAAGAAUCUCAAUUUAUUGACAUGCAUGUAGGUCAGAGUCAAUAGAUGCCUAGGCUCAAAAUGGGACCCAUUUCCAUUGAGUAUAACGUGGAUCCCUGCACAAGGAUAUACGUGAAGACCAGAAUGGUAGCAGUCACGUAUAAAAUAUAUCUAUGAUAUGAUACUUCUGUAAUUCCAUACAAAUUUUGAUUGCUCAAGUAAUUUUAUAAAGUAAUUUACAGAAAUAAAUAACUUUUUAAGAA